rnacentral:ncRNA from 1 species
AUCAGUAGAGGAGCAAAGGACAAGAGUAAUGUAUAGGUUAAAAAUACAUGAAAGGGGAGUUUGCCGAAAUCUUGAAAAAUCAAGAUUGGGUAUAUAGUUAAUAGCUAUAUAACUGUCACUAUUAUCAAAAUAGUGUUGUGCUC